AUUGAACGCUGGCGGCAUGCUCUACACAUGCAAGUCGAACGGUAACAGGCCGCAAGGUGCUGACGAGUGGCGAACGGGUGAGUAAUGCAUCGGAACGUGCCAGUCGUGGGGGAUAACUACUCGAAAGAGUAGCUAAUACCGCAUACGAUCUAUGGAUGAAAGCGGGGGACCGUAAGGCCUCGCGCGAUUGGAGCGGCCGAUGUCAGAUUAGGUAGUUGGUGGGGUAAAGGCUCACCAAGCCAACGAUCUGCAGCUGGUCUGAGAGGACGACCAGCCACACUGGGACUGAGACACGGCCCAGACUCCUACGGGAGGCAGCAGUGGGGAAUUUUGGACAAUGGGCGCAAGCCUGAUCCAGCAAUGCCGCGUGCAGGAAGAAGGCCUUCGGGUUGUAAACUGCUUUUGUACGGAACGAAACGGCUCUGGUUAAUACCCGGGGCUAAUGACGGUACCGUAAGAAUAAGCACCGGCUAACUACGUG
rnacentral:rRNA from 1 species